rnacentral:rRNA from 1 species
UGGGGAAUAUUGGACAAUGGGCGCAAGCCUGAUCCAGCCAUGCCGCGUGGGUGAAGAAGGCCUUCGGGUUGUAAAGCCCUUUUGUUGGGAAAGAAAAGCAGUCGGUUAAUACCCGAUUGUUCUGACGGUACCCAAAGAAUAAGCACCGGCUAACUUCGUGCCAGCAGCCGCGGUAAUACGAAGGGUGCAAGCGUUACUCGGAAUUACUGGGCGUAAAGCGUGCGUAGGUGGUGGUUUAAGUCUGUUGUGAAAGCCCUGGGCUCAACCUGGGAAUUGCAGUGGAUACUGGGUCACUAGAGUGUGGUAGAGGGUAGCGGAAUUCCCGGUGUAGCAGUGAAAUGCGUAGAGAUCGGGAGGAACAUCCGUGGCGAAGGCGGCUACCUGGACCAACACUGACACUGAGGCACGAAAGCGUGGGGAGCAAACAGGAUUAGAUACCCUGGUAGUCCACGCCCUAAACGAUGCGAACUGGNUGUUGGGUGCAAUUUGGCACGCAGUAUCGAAGCUAACGCGUUAAGUUCGCCGCCUGGGAGUANNNCGCAGACUG